rnacentral:lncRNA from 1 species
AUUCAUUUGCUACGGUCCGCCACCCUUGAAUCCCCUCUCCUCUCAAACUCUCUCUGAAACCUAAAGCCAACCCUAGCCGCCGCCACCCAAACUAACCCUAAUCCUUUUCGAUCCUCACCCAAUCCAUGGACUCCCAUGGCUGUUUGAGAUGUAUACCGGUCUCAUAUGUCUACUGGUUACCUGUUUUCGUGAUUUUAUGGAAAGAUCUCGAAGAGAUCUAGUCCAGGCCUUGCUCAACUUCUAUCCAUGGUCUCUUUCCCGCCAUCCAUGGUUGUUCGAGUCAAAUCCUUGACUUUUCCGGCUAGAUAGGUAACUUUUCGAAGUCUUUCUCAUUUUUCUGGGUUCUCUGAAACCCUAACUUUAAAGGCUUUUCGAUUUUCUUUCAGAUCUGUCUUAGAUCUAUGUAUGUUAUGAACCUCUUAAGUGUUUUCCUUAAAAGUUUUCCGAUUUUUCAAAACGACUCUUCAUCUUCAACGAUUAGGGUUUUCUCAACCUCUUUUAAAAAGAUCUCUUCUCCGAUUUUUAGUGUUUUUUAUGAUUUUAUUAUGUUUAAAUGAUUUGUUAUGUUUUCUUCUACCUGGUUCAUUGUGUUAAAACCCUAGGUAUUUUUGGGUUUAUCCGGGUUUUGAAACUGUCUUUGUUUGUUUUGUAUGUAUACUUGUUUCGAUUAAGUUCUUUGUGUUUAGAUCCUGUUCUUUGUUGACUGAUUCAGAGUUCUUACCAUUUUUAACUCGACUAUUGUUAAAACCUUAAUUUCCUAAAACUCUUCUCACUUAUUGCUGUGAGUUUUUAAAGACUUCCUCUACUUAUUUCCGUGUGUUGGUCUGAUCUCCUUUACCUGUUGCUAUGUGUUAGACUGGUUUCUUUACUUUGGUUCUAUGUGUGAGCCAUGACUACUUGACCUGUUGAUUGCCAUGUUUUGAAUGGGUUCUUUUACGAUUGAAUCCUUAGCCUACUUGCGUUAUUGCUGUAUGUUUAUCUAUUUGCUUCUUUUGCCAAUAUGUUCGGCCUUGCAUGUCUGAUACUCCUGUUCAUUCUUUCCUAUUUAUAUGUCGAAGUGCAGAAUCAUGACCCCUUUCUUGAUUGAUCUUGAUUUCCUUAAAUUACGGUUUGGUUGCAAGGUUUUCUUAUAAACCCUCAAUUUUACUCAUUUGUUGAUUUACUUCCUUUAUUUACUGUGAUGUUUCACCCUGCUGAAUCGUUUCCCCAAUUAAAUAUAUUCUGUACCUAGACUCAAUUGUAUACUCUAUAUUCUUACUAUCCCUUAUAUGGUCAGAAAUCAAUCUUCCUCAAAUUGAUUUUCUUUUCUUAAUUAUCCCUCUUAGUAUCCGUUAAGCAGUAAUUCCUUGAUUAAAGGGAAGUACUUGUAUUAACGGGAUUCUGAUUGUGAUUAUUUCCAUAUUUGUGUUAAACUUUUACUUGUUACCUUAUUUUUUACUCAUUUUCAAAGCUAUGUAUACCCUACCCUUUCUUCUCUAAAGAGAGGGACAACUAAGUUCAGAACACACACACACACAUUCAAACUCUCUUUUCUGUCUCCAUUACUUGUGCUACUGCUUUGUCUAGCCGGCUGAAAGCCAAGGCUAGACUGUGGAACUCUACUCGCUUUAUUUUCUGCACUUUGCUUCAUUAACUGGUAUGUCCUAGUUUAAUUUUAAAGCUUCAGCAACAACAUGCUUCUUUAUUAUUCAGUCUCUCUCAUUCUUGAUCUACUUCUGCUUGUAGUUCUGUUGUGAAACCUACAUUUAAGCUACAUUACUAGCAUGCUAUAAUGUCUCCCUUUCCCCUUUAGAUUAAUGCACUCCCCUAUGUGUGUUUCAAGGCAUACUUUGUCAGUCGCUUAUUGUGUACUUGCCAUCCUGUGAAUCCCAAGUCCCUAUCCCUUCAAUGUGUUUAUGUUCUUUCUGACUAGUUUGUGAUUGUGCCAGUACCACCUAUUGUUGUGCAUGUCCAACUAGUCCUAAGACCCUUGAUGGGGCUAUGUGUUUACAGUCAAAUAUCCUCUAUGUCCCCAACCCCUUUACUCCCCUGUUGUAACUGCUGAAGCAUGUACUCAUCUCUGAAUUUGUUUUGUGUGUGUUAUUGUUACUCCUAGUCCCUUUCCUUUUUGAAAACUAUUUUAUUAGGCAAUCCUUCUGCUGUUUUACAAACUCACUUCAAACAUGUUGUUUCUAAAAACUAUUUUCCAACUUAACUCCUGUGAGUCUAUGUCCAGCGCUCUCACAUGCACUCUUGGAUCAUUAUGUUCUACCCCUCUUGUCUGAGCCUUGCUUUGGGACCCUUGAGCUCCUUCUGAACCUGGACACAUAGGGCUGACUCUUCCACACUGCACUUACUCUUGGUUAUACAAUCUGGGUGUGAGCAUUGUCCGGGAUCCCUUGAGGUCCUUUGGGAACUCUGACACACCCAGGUAUGAGAAUGACUUUGGAACACUAUUGACAUUUGAAAUGGUUUAUUACAUAACUCAGAGA